UACGGGGGGGGCAAGCGCUGUUCGGAAUUACUGGGCGUAAAGGGCUCGUAGGCGGCCAACUAAGUCAGACGUGAAAUCCCUCGGCUUAACCGGGGAACUGCAUCUGAUACUGGAUGGCUUGAGUUUGGGAGAGGGAUGCGGAAUUCCAGGUGUAGCGGUGAAAUGCGUAGAUAUCUGGAGGAACACCGGUGGCGAAGGCGGCAUCCUGGACCAACACUGACGCUGAGGAGCGAAAGCCAGGGGAGCAAACGGG
rnacentral:rRNA from 1 species